CCUACGGGAUGCAGCAGUAGGGAAUAUUGCUCAAUGGGGGAAACCCUGAAGCAGCAACGCCGCGUGGAGGAUGAAGGUUUUCGGAUUGUAAACUCCUUUUGUUAGAGAAGAUAAUGACGGUAUCUAACGAAUAAGCACCGGCUACCUCCGGGCCAGCAGCCGCGGUAUUACGGAGGGUGCAAGCGUUAGUCGGAAUCACUGGGCGUAAAGAGCGGGUAGGCGGGAUAGCAAGUCAGAUGUGAAAUACUAUGGCUUAACCAUAGAACUGCAUUUGAAACUGUUAUUCUAGAGUAUGGGAGAGGUAGGUGGAAUUCUUGGUGUAGGGGUAAAAUGCGUAGAGAUCAAGAGGAAUACUCAUUGCGAAGGCGACCUGCUAGAACAUAACUGACGCUGAUGCGCGAAAGCGUGGGGAGCAAACAGGAUUAGAUACCCUGGUAGUC
rnacentral:rRNA from 1 species